rnacentral:rRNA from 1 species
AGUGAACGCUGGCGUUAGGCCUAACACAUGCAAGUCGAACGGCAGCACAGUAAGAGUUUGCUCUUACGGGUGGCGAGUGGCGGACGGGUGAGGAAUACAUCGGAAUCUACUUUUUCGUGGGGGAUAACGUAGGGAAACUUACGCUAAUACCGCAUACGACCUACGGGUGAAAGCAGGGGAUCUUCGGACCUUGCGCGAUUGAAUGAGCCGAUGUCGGAUUAGCUAGUUGGCGGGGUAAAGGCCCACCAAGGCGACGAUCCGUAGCUGGUCUGAGAGGAUGAUCAGCCACACUGGAACUGAGACACGGUCCAGACUCCUACGGGAGGCAGCAGUGGGGAAUAUUGGACAAUGGGCGCAAGCCUGAUCCAGCCAUACCGCGUGGGUGAAGAAGGCCUUCGGGUUGUAAAGCCCUUUUGUUGGGAAAGAAAAGCAGCAGGUUAAUACCCCGCUGUUCUGACGGUACCCAAAGAAUAAGCACCGGCUAACUUCGUG